rnacentral:rRNA from 1 species
CGGGGUGCACCAGGCGCGAAAACUUUACAAUGCCGGCAACGGCGAUAAGGGGACCUCGAGUGCCAGGUUACAAAUCUGGCUGUCGUGAUGCCUAAAAAGCAUUGCAUAGCAAGGGCCGGGCAAGACCGGUGCCAGCCGCCGCGGUAACACCGGCGGCUCGAGUGGUAACCGUUAUUAUUGGGUCUAAAGGGUCUGUAGCCGGCCGGAUAAGUCUCUUGGGAAAUCUGGCAGCUUAACUGUCAGGCUUUCAGGAGAUACUGUCUGGCUCGAGGCCGGGAGAGGUGAGAGGUACUUCAGGGGUAGGGGUGAAAUCUUGUAAUCCUUGAAGGACCGCCAGUGGCGAAGGCGUCUCACCAGAACGGACCUGACGGCAAGGGACGAAAGCUAGGGGCACGAACCGGAUUAGAUACCCGGGUAGUCCUAGCCGUAAACGAUACUCGCUAGGUGUCGGCCACGGUGCGACCGUGGUCGGUGCCGUAGGGAAGCCGUGAAGCGAGCCACCUGGGAAGUACGGCCGCAAGGCUGAAACUUAAAGGAAUUGGCG